UGCCAGCAGCCGCGGUAAUUCCAGCUCCAAUAGCGUAUAUUAAAGUUGUUGCGGUUUAAAAGCUCGUAGUUGGAUCUCGGUUUCACUCAGGCGGUACACCUUGCGGUGUUCACUGUCUGGGCGGACGUUUCUGUUGGUUCGCUGUUGGUUCUCUUAAUCGAGUGCCAAUUGGUGGCCAGCACGUUUACUUUGAAAAAAUUGGAGUGCUCAAAGCAGGCGUUACAGCCUGAACAUUAGUGCAUGGAAUAAUGGAAUAGGAUCUCGAUUCUAUUUCGUUGGCUUUCGGAGUCGAGGUAAUGAUUAAUAGGGACAGACGGGGGCAUUCGUACUGCGACGUUAGAGGUGAAAUUCUUGGAUCGUCGCAAGACGAACUACUGCGAAAGCAUUUGCCAAGAAUGUUUUCAUUAAUCAAGAACGAAAGUUAGAGGUUCGAAGGCGAUCAGAUACCGCCCUAGUUCUAACCAUAAACGAUGCCAACCGGCGAUCCGUCGUCGUUAAUUGAAUGACUCGACGGGCAGCCUCCGGGAAACCAGAGUGUUUGGGUUCCGGGGGAAGUAUGGUUGCAAAGCUGAAACUUAAAGGAAUUGACGGAAGGGCACCACCAGGAGUGGAGCCUGCGGCUUAAUUUGACCCAACACGGGAAAUCUCACCAGGCCCGGACACCGGAAGGAUUGACAGAUUGAGAGCUCUUUCUUGAUUCGGUGGGUGGUGGUGCAUGGCCGUUCUUAGUUGGUGGAGCGAUUUGUCUGGUUAAUUCCGAUAACGAACGAGACUCUGGCCUACUAACUAGAAGGGUCGUUCUUUACGAGCGGCCCUCUGCUUCUUAGAGGGACGGGCGGCGUUUAGCCGCACGAGAAUGAGCAAUAACAGGUCUGUGAUGCCCUUAGAUGUUCUGGGCUGCACGCGCGCUACACUGAAGGAAUCAGCAUGUUCUCCCCUCCCUGAAAAGGGCGGGUAACCCGUUGAAACUCCUUCGUGAUGGGGAUUGGAGAUUGUAAUUAUUCUCCAUGAACGAGGAAUUCCCAGUAGGCGCGAGUCAUCAGCUUGCGUCGAUUACGUCCCUGCCCUUUGUACACACCGCCCGUCGCUACUACCGAUCGAGUGAUUUAGUGAGGACUUCGGACUGGUCUCCAAGUUGGCUUCGGUCAGCUCGGAGUUCCGGAAAGAUGCCCAAACUUGAUCACUUAGAGGAAGAAAAAGUCGUAACAAGGUUUCCGUAGGUGAACCUGCGGAAG
rnacentral:rRNA from 1 species